rnacentral:misc_RNA from 1 species
AAAGUCGUAACAAGGUUUCUGUAAGAACCUGUGGAAGGAUCGUUACUGAUUUGGCGAACCGAGCGUUAGCGAGGUUCUGCGAUCAUUUAUAUUUAAAACCCACUCUUGAAUUGUAUAAUUUAUGUAUUAAUGAUAAAAUUAAAGAUCACUUUCAACAACGGAUCUCUUGGCUCUC